rnacentral:rRNA from 1 species
GAUGAACGCUGGCGGCGUGCUUAACACAUGCAAGUCGAACGAAGCAUUUGCGACAGAUUUUUUCGGAAUGAAGUUGCUUAUGACUGAGUGGCGGACGGGUGAGUAACGCGUGGGUAACCUGCCUUGUACUGGGGGAUAGCAGCUGGAAACGGCUGGUAAUACCGCAUAAGCGCACAAUGUUGCAUGACAUGGUGUGAAAAACUCCGGUGGUAUAAGAUGGACCCGCGUCUGAUUAGCUAGUUGGUGAGAUAACAGCCCACCAAGGCGACGAUCAGUAGCCGACCUGAGAGGGUGACCGGCCACAUUGGGACUGAGACACGGCCCAGACUCCUACGGGAGGCAGCAGUGGGGAAUAUUGCACAAUGGAGGAAACUCUGAUGCAGCGACGCCGCGUGAGUGAAGAAGUAAUUCGUUAUGUAAAGCCCUAUCAGCAGGGAAGAUAGUGACGGUACCUGACGAAGAAGCUCCGGCUAAAUACGUG